rnacentral:rRNA from 1 species
CAUGGAGGGUGAGAAUCCCGUUCGGUUAACCAAAGCGCUUUACGAUACGCUUUCAAAGAGUCAAGUUGUUUGGGAUUGCAGCUUAAAAUGGGAGGUAAAUUUCUCCUAAGGCUAAAUAUUGGCGAGAGACCGAUAGCGAACAAGUACCGUGAGGGAAAGAUGAAAAGAACUUUGAAAAGAGAGUUAAACAGUACGUGAAAUUGUUGAAAGGGAAACGAUUAAAGUCAGUCGUACCUACGAGUGAUCAACCUACUCGAGUGCGAUUUUGUGGGUAUGUUUGAGCUUAAAAACCUUCAUGCUUACAAAUUGGUGCUCUUUGGGCGUACUUUCUCGUAUGGUAGGUUAACAUCAAUUUCGAUCGUUAUAAAAUGACUGGAGGAAUGUAGCUUCGACCUCGGUUGAAGUGUUAUAGCCUUUGGUAGAUGUAAUGAUUGGGAUUGAGGAUUGCAACGGAUACCUUCUGGGCUAUUCGUCUGAUCUCUGGAAGUUACCUUGGUGUCGAAAGCGUGCUUACGAUAUUAAGGUUGACGGCCAAUAGGUUAGAACGUGAUUAAAUUCGUUAAGGAUGUUGACGUAAUGG